UCGGGAUGAACGCUGGCGGCAUGCCUAAGACAUGCAAGUCGAACGAGGUGGCCCAAAGAAGAUUGAGUGCUUGCACAAGAUUGGACUUGGAUUACCACCUAGUGGCGGACGGGUGAGUAACACGUAGGUGACCUGCCUUUGAGUUUGGGAUAACUAUUAGAAAUGAUAGCUAAUACCGGAUUAAAUGCAGAUUCGUUUCUGUAUUAAAAGGAGCCUUUAAAGCUUCGCUUAAAGAUGGGCCUGCGGCGUAUUAGCUAGUUGGUGAGGUAAUGGCUUACCAAGGCGACGAUGCGUAGCCGAACUGAGAGGUUGAUCGGCCACAUUGGGACUGAGACACGGCCCAAACUCCUACGGGAGACAGCAGUUAGGAAUAUUCGUCAAUGGGGGAAACCCUGAACGAGCAAUGCCGCGUGAACGAUGAAGGCCCUAUGGGUUGUAAAGUUCUGUUGCAUGGGACGAACGGCUAGGAUAGGAAAUGAUCUUAGUGUGACGGUACCAUGCCAG
rnacentral:rRNA from 1 species